AUUGAACGCUGGCGGCAUGCCUUACACAUGCAAGUCGAGCGGAGAUGAGGUGCUUGCACCUUAUCUUAGCGGCGGACGGGUGAGUAAUGCUUAGGAAUCUGCCUAUUAGUGGGGGACAACAUUCCGAAAGGAAUGCUAAUACCGCAUACGUCCUACGGGAGAAAGCAGGGGAUCUUCGGACCUUGCGCUAAUAGAUGAGCCUAAGUCGGAUUAGCUAGUUGGUGGGGUAAAGGCCUACCAAGGCGACGAUCUGUAGCGGGUCUGAGAGGAUGAUCCGCCACACUGGGACUGAGACACGGCCCAGACUCCUACGGGAGGCAGCAGUGGGGAAUAUUGGACAAUGGGCGGAAGCCUGAUCCAGCCAUGCCGCGUGUGUGAAGAAGGCCUUUUGGUUGUAAAGCACUUUAAGCGAGGAGGAGGCUACCUAGAUUAAUACUCUUGGAUAGUGGACGUUACUCGCAGAAUAAGCACCGGCUAACUCUGUGCCAGCCGCCGCAGUAAUAC
rnacentral:rRNA from 1 species